AGGGGCGUGGCCAGCGUCCGGCCAGCGGCGGCCAAUCAAUGCGUGGGGCAGGUUAUAAAUAGGGGAGGAGGUGCGCGCCGCGCAAGUGGCGCAGUAAGGUGAGAACGUCUCGAGCCGGCAGAAAUGGCACGGCACCUCGUUUGGCGCGCCUCUGCCUCAGAUCCAUCCUUCCUGCUCCUAGACUCCUUGUGGUGGCUGGUUCCCAUCCCUAUUGGGCCGUGGCAGCAAGCUAAGGGAGAGUGCAUACCGAUCUUGUUGAUUUUUCCUCUCAGGCAGCACAGCAGCCACAAAAGGGUGGCCUGGCACCGUUCACCCUUGUUGCACUGCCCAGGCAGUUGAAGCACCCACCAUGGGUCACACUCCAGUUGCGAGAGGGAGUGUUUGUACCACGUAGAGGUCAACAAGCUUUUGUACCAGCUCUUGAUCCUGUGCUGCAAGGUUGGAAUCUGUAGGACCAGCCGCUGCCUGUCCUGCAGCUUGUCCAAGCAUGCUUGAUCCAUUAAGGUACCACUUGGCCUUUGGUAAUGGCCUGAAUGGGACGAGAGAAGGAGGCAUCAUUGCAACCUCACCGCUUGUUAUGUUACAUCACCAGAACCAGAGGAGAAGGCCCGGGACCAGUUUCCUGUCCUCCUUAACAUUUUGGACGAAAAAGAAAGUAGCAACAUAAGCCAUUGACCUUCCAGGAGUAGGAGUGGAGAAGACGACACAGGUGUAGUAGUCUGCUUUGUAGAGAAACAGGAACAAAGAAGAAGGUAUCAGUCUGAUCCCCACCCUUUUUCAUGAUUGGGAACAGAGAUGAAAGUGUGGGCCUAGUUUCCAACCUUAUUUCUGCAGAAUGGGAGAAAAAGGCAGAGGUCUAGUCCCCACUCUGCCUCUUGAAGUAGCAUCAGAGAAUUUAUGGGUCCUUAUCCUUGCUUGAACGUUUACAAGGUAUAGAUGGGAUUUGUGUUUUUAAGGUCUCAUCGAAAGAUCUCCUACACCAUAAACUGAAUGGAAUUCAGUUUAUCUUUUUCAGAAAGAUAAGGACUGAUUCAGUGUUGUCAGAGUUUUAAAUGUGUGGUUCCUGUUUAGCUUGGUAAUGUGGGUGUCCCAUUUAGCUAUGUGCUUGUGUCUGAACAUUUAUAGUUCUUCAGUAACUAUUAUUAAUAACAAAAACUGAAAAUAAGAGCUACUGUGAAGAGUUUGUCACCAAUUUUAUGCUGACUACUGGAUAUUUCACUUAAGGAGAGUAUUCUUAAAUGGUUAAGUCCACUAUUACAUCACUUAGAGAUGUCACUCAUUUCCUCCCAGUAUUUACAUUCCACACAAAUUUGGUCUGCUCACCUCUGUUUGAAUAACUUGCAUCAGAAAUAAUUAAUCAUGAAACUGAGAUUAUUGAUAUUUACACCAAGAGAAUUAAUCCUACAUCAUCAGCAUCUGCAAACAAUGUGUUUUACCUCCUACAGUUCAUUGAGACUUUCCUGGUAGACAAUGACCUAGGCUUGGAAAUAACACUUCUGUAUUCUCCUGACAACACAACAGCAAUGCAGUCUACCUACACACCCUCAUCAAUCCUCUGGAAACUCCCAAGUACAGAAUGCAGCAGCACAUCUCAGCAACGAGGUCUGCAAUUAAUAUAUCAAACCUGUCCACUCUUCACUAUACUUAUUUCCCAUCAAAUAUGUUAGAUUCAAGGUCUCCAUCCUUACUUCCAAGAUAUUGAACAUGGUGACCCUAAAGGUCACUUAAAGUUCUAGGAUGAGGACUGUGUUCAACAGCUCCAGACCUCUGGCACAAUGGAAUUCUCUACCAGAAGAACAAAGCUUGUUUAUGCAGGAGACAGCUUUCUCACAUGCCUGCGCAAAACAGGAAUAAACUCAGAAUCUAAAUCCCGUACUCCCAUUAAACUUACUGUUUUCUGAUCCAAGUGCAAAACCCACUUUGGUCUUACAUUUUAAUAUAAACACACAGCACAGUAUACUGGUACAAAUGGUUAAAAGCAAAAUAGCUCAUAAUUUUUCCUUCUGGGAACAAGAUGAGAGAGAGAGAAAGAAAGAACCAUACAUGGUAGAUAUGUUAAUUAAUGCACUUUUGUAAGGUGCAUAGGUACUGCAAUACAGAAGGCAAUGUAAGAUCUUGAAUAGAAAUAGAAUAAUCAUUUUAAAUUUUCUGCAUGAAUAAUUUUCUGUCUCCUUCGUAUUGGGUCCCAUAUUUGUGCCUUGGAAAGUUGAAAGGUAUGCUGUGUGGCAUUUUCAGAACCUGCCCUCUCUUCAGAAUGUAUGUCCUUGCUCCAGGAAUAGUUCUAAAAAAGCAACUCUGGCUCUGGGUAAUAGCUUUAGAUAUGAAAGAAAUAUGCUGUAGGUGACUGAAGAUAUUUCUUUGACUGAAUCCAUUAAAUACUUUAAAAAGUGGGACAAAAUUAUUUCCUGCAUAACAUUUGUGAUCUGAAGAGCUACCAGCAUGGUAACAUGGUUUGAGUUCUUUGCUGCUGAUUCACUUUUGUUUGUUCUACAUAAAAUUUCUUCAACUGUGUUAGCUGCUUAAGUGGAGAAUGUGGGGUAAGUACAUUUCUUUUUGUUGUCUGUCUCUUGUUCUGAACAGUUGACAUCAAGCCUUCAGAGAAAAAGAUGCCAGAAAAUUUUAUUCAGUCACAGCAGAGAGGAAUAGCCCAUUUUCUAUGGUCUGCUACUAGUGUUUUUAAGCGAGGAAGUUUAGAAUUAGCAGUUCACAAAUGUGGUUGGUUGUGCCUCCUCAUGCUCUGUUGUGGAAUUGGACACUGCACAGGAAACACCUAAUCAUGCAAAGACUUGCACAGUUAGUUAACUUUAUGUAUUUUGAAGUCAAUGGAACUAUUCACAAGUAUGUACAGUUAAGCAUGUGUGUAAAUCGUUGUAAGAUCAGCGCUAAAGGAGUUAUUUUUACAUGAAGGAUAUUGAAGUGAUUAUUGGUACCUUUGCUCCAUGACUUGUACUAGAAAUUUCAAAUGAGGUUUAUCAAGAAAAACUACAAAUUGUGAGUAACCAACCACUUUUAAAAAAAAAAAAUCAAAUGGAGAGUAGGAAAUAAGGUCAUCCAUUUCUGUGUACCUCUAAUGUAUGUAACUUCAGGAAAUACUCCAACCCAUUGUUAAAAUUCUUUCAGCUGGGUCUAGAAAAAGGUUCAGAUUAAACCUAACUGUUUUAAAAUUUAGGUUUAUGACAAAACUAAGCUAGUUGUUGGAUUUUUUUUUUUGCUAUAACAAAACUGUUGCUAUAACUCUUCUUUCCUCCUUUAAAAAUAUUUUAAGCAUUUGUUUCCUGUUAUAAACUAGAGAAGAUAAAAGAUGCAAGAAUGAAAAAAUACUAUAAGAUGAUUCAAUAUUUAAAAAAACAACAACAGACGUCAGGUUGUUCCUUCAAAAGUGUUGGUCAUAGGAUUGCGAAGAAGUUUUAGAAUUGCUCCAUAGAAAAUCUGAGCAUCUUCAGUCUACGCCAUGGAAUUUUUAGAAGUAGUAGUUUGGAAAUUUUGUUGCAAAGAUUAAUGAUUUCAUGCCUCUGUGACUAAGCAAAAUACACCAUGUGUAGAAUAGUUAGAGAGACAGUAAAAAAAAAGUCUCUAAAAUGUCUCAUACAGAACCUCUUAAUGAACAAAACAUCAUAUAUGACAAAGAGUAUAAAGACAAAUUGGUCAAGGCAAGAAAAUCCAUAUAAUCUAGGUACCAGGGAGUACAGGUGUUUGGAAGAAUUAUUUGGUGCUACUGAGGCUAAAUAAACACAGAAGAGAAACUGAAUUGCAUGGAAAUGUGCCAACCAGGGAAUCAAAGGAAUGAGGUGCUGCAGCAUGGAGUGUGGGGAUAGCUAUAAUUGAUAUUUUGUCUGACUAUAGAGAUAAAAGAAUUUUAAGCAAUUGUAAAAAUGGAUGGUUAGAGCUACACUACAAAGUUAGGUUGACAUAAGUCCACUUGUGUUGACUUAGUUAUGCAUGUGUCCUCACUUGUAUUUGUCUUCUGCUGACUUAAGUGGCCUCUUCCAGUGAUACAGUAACAGCUCCUCCCUGAGCGGUACAGAGCCAUAGUCAAACUACUGAGGUCAAUGCAGUGCAAAUAUAGACACUGCAUUAGUUGUGUCAACCUUAACAGUGCUCCAGCACCCGUCCAACAAUGCCUCUGUCCUUGUAACAGUGACUGUUCUGGUCAAAGUUUGAAUUCCCCAGCCCAAGGGUCACAGAGAUUGGAAUCCCCCCAACACCUUUUAAACCCCUCCAUGUUUUUGAAAUUCCUUUUCCUGAUUGCCCACCUUGGUGAGCACACUUAGCACACCUUUUUUGUGUGUAGCCAACUGACCAUGCCAGUUCCACACACACAGAAAGCUACUAAAGGCGCUCCAGCCUGAGACGUAUUGGAAGUAUUGGAUCUCCUUGGUCUGUAGAAAGAAGACUAUGCAAGCAUGGCUCUGGACCACCCAUAGAAACAUGGACAUCUAUGGGCUGAUUGCACAAGGAAUGCUGGCAAAAGGGCAUGACAGAAAUCAGCAGCAGUGUCACAUGAAAGUGAAGGAACUACCCCAGGCAUAUUACAAGCAAGGAGGGCAAAAAACACAUUUUGUGCUGCCCACAGACCUGCCACUUUUACAACAGAUUGCAUGCCACAAUUGGCAGUGACCCAACCUGAACCCUACAGUCAGCUGUGGACACCUCAGAGAAGACUGAGAUGGAGAUCCCUGCCAUGAACCAUGAGGAGGAAGCAGGAGCGGGAGAGAGACAGCAGGGCACUAAAACUAUGCCAUGAACUAGGAACUGUUUGAAACUCUGCAGCAGUCUAGCCAGGUGGGUCACCGAUGAAAGGGAAGAGAGCUUGGGUAACUGCAUAUAUGCAUUAUUCCUUGCCAUUUUUUUCCUUUUCCUUUCCCUUAUACCUCAUCUCCCUUAUCCCACCUCACGAUCUUUGUUCUCCAUUGAAAAAUGGCUUCAGCCCAUUAACAGAUUAAGGCACAAGGAUCAACUUUUCAUUGCUGUACGGGUAUAAUGUUAGAAAGCAAAAGGUUAGGGAAUUCAUUUAUACAGUCUGGUUACACAAUCCAGUUACGCAGCCCACGUCACAUCUGUGUCUUGUGCUCAGGUAGAGGUAGAUCAAACGGAGUUAGUAUUGACAUCUGGCUCACUGGGCUAGGGGGAGUACUCUGUUUAUCAGAAUAGGGAUGUGUCUCAUUGUCUUGAGAGAGCUCAACGAAACUUGAAAGCUACACUGCAAUCCUCUCCCAAAAUUUUUUAGUGAUUGCAGCCUUGUUUCUUCCAUUGCAAUAGGACACGAUUGUGCUGAGCUCUGCAGCUCCAUGCUUCUGUUAGAGUGAAGAUGUGUGCCAAGAAGUGCUACAGAGGACUGUGAUCGUUUUGAAAAAGACGUAAAAAUUAUGGGUUGUGAAAAGUAGUAUGGGAUGUUGAGCAUGGCAUAGUAGGAACUUGACCCCUAGCUUCCAGAACUCCCUGGGUGAUUUGUUAUAAUCCCGCAAAGUUCUGUGGAAAUGUCUCAAAAAAUAUUGCACUGGAUGGCAGGGCAGGCUUACCUACUCCUCUUUACAUUGACAUUAUGAUGAUAGAAGCAGUCCUGGUUAGUACACACAGCACUGAUGCAAGCAGUCAAGUGUUCAAAUACAGACUGAUAAUUCAAACUUCAGUCGAUGUAUGCAACGUAACUUGUGUCAACCAAACUUUGUAGUGUAGAAGUAGAUGUUGUUGUCUACAAAGAAAAUAAAAUCUGAUAUGGCAACUAUUUCCAGUCUUAAUCCUAGCAAUUCAAGUAUAUUGGAAAGUGCUAAUAGAAAUAAAGUUUUUUUUAUCAACAAGGUCAUCAUUAAAUCUAGAUUCUGUUCCGUAAAAUUACAAAUGAUAGAAAAGGAGAAAAAGUCUACUCUUUGUGCUCAUAGAGGUGAAUUGGCUUCCAAGGAAAAUCAAAGCUUUGAAUGUAAUGCUGAUGAUUGAUAUUUCAGUGUGUUACAUCUGAAAAAAUGAAUGGGUGGACUAAAAAAUUUUAAUAUGCUUAUUAAUAUUUGUUGGCUAUUCCAUGGUAAGUCUUGACUUUGGCAAUUAUAACACUCUUGCUGUGUAGGUAAAAUGCAUUUUUUAUUGAGGCCUCUUCAUGCUUUCUUAGGGAGAAGCUGCAGUGUGGGGUAUGCACACACAAAGUCACUCUUGAGCUAACUAAUGAUAAGCAGGAAAAUUGAUAUAUAAUAUUUUUGUAUGUAUAGAAAUAUCAUUGGGGGAUCUUUAGUAAUCAUUCUAAUGAAUGAUAAUUGAACAAGCACUUUUUUCUUUGUGUUCUUGUAAGAUGCAUCAAACAUUAAUCAUCAGGAAAGAUUUUGGAGUACAAUGGAAAGAUCCAUUUGGCCUUCUACCAUUGUGAUAUAGUCGAUAAAUCAUUUCUGAGCAAUGAAGAAUAUCGGUCAGAUUUAGAAUUGCUAUCUCACUUUCUCAAAUGUUUCUAUUCUAGGCUGAGCUUUAAGAAAAACUGGUGAUUUAGCUAGUUAAGCUAAUUGCUUACCAAAUAAGAAAUAUAUAAUUAUUUUUGGAACAGUUUUGGAAAUGCUUGUUAUGUUUGAGUAUUUUUAUAAUGAAUGAUUAUCUGUCAGAGAUGCCAUUUUACUUACACUUUUUAGUGGGAAGUACAGGUGGAUGAUGAAAUUGUUUGAAAUACAAUGCACCUUUUCUCCUGAAAGCAAGAAAAAAAUGGGAGCUUUUCAAACUUGUAAAAUAAGCGUUGAUACACAUUUGAAACUAAGGGUUAAUUUAGCAGCAGGAUAAUAUAAUCAAAUCUGAAUGUUCUAGUCAGUUUAUUGGAUUUAUGUUAAAGUCCUCCUGGAACUUUCUGUACAGCUGGCAUUUAAAAAACAACUCUUUGAAAUGUGUUAGUUUACAUAUUAGUAAUUAUGCUUAGACUUAUUUUUUUAAUUAAAGUGAAGAUGUCAAGUGUGUAAGUCCUCUUCUCCCUCUCCAACACAAAUGUAUGUACUUCUGUCUGAUUGAUAAGUUAUGUUGCAUUGUACUUUGUUCUGUACUUUUCUUAAUAAUUAUGUGCUCUUUGGCCAUGUCUAGACAGGGACGCUCAGGCAAGUUAAGGCACAUAAGUUAUAGAACGUUAGAUCUGCAUGUCUAAUUCAGUCCUUAUUUUGUUGUAGCUUAAUCCUCCUCUGAGGAUGUUUACUCCUGAAUGAGAGCAUCCACAUUGUGGUUUAGUGGGCUUUAAUUUAUGCGCAUUAACUUCACACAUUUCAUUGAUUCACCUUAACUUUCCUGAGUGUCUCCAUGUAGAUAAGCCCUUACUUAUCAGUAGUUCCUGCAUAAGUCUUAAAUGGUGGAAGAAAGAAAAGACCAUAUGGAUUAUGGGACUGAAGACGUGUAUGUACGCCUUGUUGAUGAAUCUCUGUCAGAAUCUGAGGUUGGAAAAAAUGUUGCUAUGGAUGUUUUUUGUAGAACCACUGUAAUGUUUGGCAUCUGUCUAAUGUGUCAUUGUUUCCUCACUCAUGUGGAUCCAAAAUUCAUAGUAUCUUUCAACAUUCAUUAUAUUUUAUAUAGAUAAUUUGGAGGAAAUUCAGAAAAGGGAGUUGAAGGAUUUGAGUUCAGUUGGGGGAGUGAGAAACCUACAUCUGAGAAAUUGAUGUACAGGUACAGAUACUGUUACUUUCCAGAGGUUUGGGAAAAGAUUCUGGCAUUUCAGUUGAGACCAGGAAGGAAUGUGCAGCCAGGAAGGAGGUAAAGAUAAGAGAGAUCCUAUAAUGGUUUGGUUGAUGAGACAAAAAUGCUGCUCAAGUAAACAUUUCUAUAAUUUCUUUUCUUGAUAUUUUCAGAACAUUGAUAUAUUACCAGUUAUAUUUUUCAAACAAAAUUACAAAUAAAGUGGAUAAAAAUAUGGUUGAUACUUUGUCUAGAAAAAACUCCUCAAUGUCUUGAUUCUACUGCUAAUGCUUUUUUUUUUUAAUAGAUUUUUACCUUUACCAUCUCUUCUACAACUUCUCAGUUACAGAGCUGGUUGUGUCUGCUGAGAAAAAAUGGGGGCUGUGUAUCACUGGCAGAUGGAUGGCACUAGAGCUAUUUCAUGUCACAGUUUCAUCAAAUGUUCUGAUAUAAAUGUUGAACGCAGAAGAAAUGCCCUGGUGAUAGGCACUAUAUGAAAUCCUAAAACAGAGCUAAAUAGAGCAUUGCUAUCUUUACCCUAGUUUUUUAAGGCAUAUUGGGUCCUCAUUGCAUAAAUUGCUUCGGUAUUCUCCGAUGAAAGCAACUACAGAAAUGGAAAGUGUUAUUUAUUCAAAAUGGCUGAUGGCCCCAAUCAGAAUCAGGGGACACAAUUAUGCUAGUGGCUGCAAAAUUAUGAAGGAAAGGACAUAUCUCUGUCUUUACAUGCUUACAGUCCAAAUUUGGACAAGUCAAACUUCUCUGGGUCUCACUUUCCCUAUAAAAUUGGGGAUAAGACUUACUUACCGGAUACUGGCAUUAUUCAAGGUAAAUUCAUGUUUGUGAUGUGUUUUGAAACAAUGAGCACUAUGGCCAGAUUCAACAAAGCACUGAAGCAUGAGCUCAACUUCAGCUUUCAUCCAGUUAUUCCAGAAUAUCUCUACCUUCAUAACUAUUAUGAGCACGUGUAUUCUCCUCCCCCAAGGGGGGGCGGGGUCCAGAUUAAACUUCUAGCUCUUAUCCACCUUCUUUUGUGGUCAGAGGUGGUGGUGACAACGUCUGGGAGUCUUGAAUUUCUAUUACAGUACAACCUCAGAGUUACAAACUGACCAGUCAACCCCACACACCUCAUUUGGAAUCGGAAGUAUGUAAUCAGGCAAUAGCAGAGCCUAGACCCACCCCCCCCCAAAAAAAGGGGGGGAGAGAAUACACAGUACUGUACUGUGUUAAAUAUACACUACUAAAGGGAAAGUUUUAAAACAAAUUGACAAGGAAACUUUUUAUGCUCUUUUCACUUAAAUUAAGAUGGUUAAAAGCAGCAUUUUUCUUCUGUAUAGUAAAGUUUCAAAGCUGUAUACUAUUAAGUCAAUGUUCAGUUGUAACCUUUUGAAAGUACCAUAACAUUUUGUUCAGAGUUAUAAACAUUUCAGCGUUUCAAACAGCCUCCAUCCCAAGGUGUUCAUAACUCUCAAGUUCUUCUGAACUUGAAGUGGGAUAGUAUAUACCUAUCUCAGCUAUUGGUUCAGGCUGCAUGCAGAUUCAGGCAGAGAACUAUAUACUCUUCAUGUUUGAAAGGUUGCCCUCAGAACAGUUCCAUGGCCAUAGUGAACAGUGCCUUGCUGUACUAUAAACAGUUUUCUAAAUGAUGCAACAUGCCCCAUCUACAUAAAGCUUUUCCAUGUUUUGAAGAAGAGUAUAUAGGCAUCCUCAGUUAUGGCUGAAGUUUGUUGGAAUAUGGUUUGGAUGGCCAAAGCAUAGAGUUGACUCUGAAAUCGGAUGCACUAGUGUGUACUCUAGUGGAGCUCUAUGCCACUGCAUGGAUUUAUGCGAGUGCAGGCAAUGGCAGGACUGUGGCCCAAAUUACUUUAUACAAAGCUGUUGUACGAUGGGUCUCUACAGGAACUAAAACUUUCUUUUUUUUUUAAACUGAUAAAUUUUUUUCCUCACUCACAUUGAAUGUCCAACCUGUAUAAAUUGUGCUGGUCAAAAAAAAAAUUGUGAAAGUUUUUCCAUCAAAAUUAUGAAAUUAGAAAAAUUUUGUCUAGCCCUGGGUCUAUGACCCACUUCAGCCAGAAGCAAAAUAUAAACAUUGCUUAAGUAUGUUAAAUACUGUUGAAAGCCCUAUGUAGAUUCAGCCAUAGUGGGCUCCUUGGAUAAUAAGCAAUCAAAACAAUUAAAAA